rnacentral:rRNA from 1 species
UUGCGAUAACGAACGAGACUCUAGCCUACUAAAUAGACCGUUGGCUCUUCGGCGUCAACGGGACUUCUUAGAGGGACAAGCGGCAAUUAAGCCGCACGAAACAGAGCAAU